rnacentral:rRNA from 1 species
CCUGCACGAAUGGAGUAACGACUUCCCCGCUGUCUCAACCAUAAACUCGGCGAAAUUGCAGUACGAGUAAAGAUGCUCGUUACGCGCAGCAGGACGGAAAGACCCCGAGACCUUUACUAUAGUUUGGUAUUGGUGUUCGGAGUGGCUUGUGUAGGAUAGGUGGGAGACGUUGAAGCCCGGACGCCAGUUCGGGUGGAGUCAUCGUUGAAAUACCACUCUGGUCACUUUGGACAUCUAACUUCGGCCCGUAAUCCGGGUCAGGGACAGUGCCUGAUGGGUAGUUUAACUGGGGCGGUUGCCUCCUAAAAAGUAACGGAGGCGCCCAAAGGUUCCCUCAGCCUGGUUGGCAAUCAGGUGUCGAGUGUAAGUGCACAAGGGAGCUUGACUGUGAGAGAGACAUCUCGAGCAGGGACGAAAGUCGGGACUAGUGAUCCGGCGGUACAUUGUGGAAUGGCCGUCGCUCAACGGAUAAAAGGUACCUCGGGGAUAACAGGCUGAUCUUGCCCAAGAGUCCAUAUCGACGGCAUGGUUUGGCACCUCGAUGUCGGCUCGUCGCAUCCUGGGGCUGGAGUAGGUCCCAAGGGUUGGGCUGUUCGCCCAUUAAAGCGGUACGCGAGCUGGGUUUAGAACGUCGUGAGACAGUUCGGUCCCUAUCCGCUGCGCGCGCAGGAAAUUUGAGAAGGGCUGUCCUUAGUACGAGAGGACCGGGACGGACGAACCUCUGGUGUGUCAGUUGUACUGCCAAGUGCACCGCUGAUUAGCUACGUUCGGAUGGGAUAACCGCUGAAAGCAUCUAAGCGGGAAGCUCGCUUCGAGAUGAGAUUUCCAUACACCUCCGGGUGUGAGAGGCCCCCAGCCAGACCACUGGGUUGAUAGGCCGGAUGUGGAAGCGAGGACUAACGACUCGUGAAGCUGACCGGUACUAAUAGGCCGAUAACUUACACCAC